ACUAUUUUGGCAGAAAGAAUGUGAUGGUUUUAGGAAUCAUUAAUGUAUAAAUUUAUUUAUAUAAAUAGUA
rnacentral:tRNA from 1 species